rnacentral:tRNA from 1 species
CAUUAAGAAGCUUUACAAUUAGCAUUAGCCUUUUAAGUUAAAGAUGGGUUUUUCACCCCUUAAUGA